UUUAAAAUGACCAAUGUGUUAUCAAUAUAGGCUACCCAUCCUUAUCAUAUAGGCUACCCAUCCUCUCUUCGUUUCUAACCAUUUUGCAGUGCGAAGAGAGAGACCCAGGCGCAGGCCAGGCGGCGCGUGUCGCUCGGUCUGAAUUGCACCGUAAUCGCCAAAACCUUGGCCUAAUUUGCAGCUAAUAGAUCUCGAGCGAGGGAGUCGGGAAGAAACCAGUGGCUUUGGAGGGAUCGGAAAUUAAGGGACUAGAAGAAGGAUGUGAUUCCUAUUAUUCUCCCCCUCCCCCUCCUGCACACGACCAUGUGUCUCCUGGCUGGGCCUUUGGGGACGCGGCCCCUGGCCCUCCGUGGCCUGUGUUCCUGUUGUUCGCUUCUCUCCCAGCGGACCACUGUGUCUGGGGCGCCGCGCCCUCCGGUGCGCUCAGACCUCGCGCCCUCCGACCGGCUUCUCCCAGUCCCCGGGAGGAGGCGCUGUGCCCGGGCUGGCCUCUGGUCCCUCCCAGCCGAUGUCCUGGAGCCCCCAUUCACAAAACCCCUCCUGGAAGAGGACACACACCCACCCACCCACACACACACACACACACCCCACACACGCACUACGAGAAGGGGAGUUUGAUCUUGUCUCAUUGGCGUCUCGGGUCUGAAAGGAAAAUCGUUUGGGUAAACAGCCAAGCUUCCAGGCUUAACGCCCGGCUCCCGCCCCCGCCCCUCCAUCCCCUCCUGCCUCCCCCACUCGCCUUCAACCCCACCCGCCACCCACACUCGGCUCCGCAGCCGGGCCCCGAGCGAGCUCCGCGAGUCCUGGCGAGAGCCGAGGGCUCCCCGGGUUCAAAGGGCCGCAGCCCCGAGGGAACGCCCUCCUUGCUGUGCCCCGGGGGGCAGAAGCGGACUGCUGGGCGGUGGGACCGGCCUGGGCCACGCUCCGCGCCCCUCCCAGCCUUCCCGCCCUUAGCCGGGAAAGGACGCUGAGAUGACAUCACCACAGAGACCCGCGGCCUCCCCGCCCCCGGCCCCGGGACCCCGGAGCGGAGAUUGACAGGUGUCGCUCGUUAGGACAAUGCCUUCCAGGAACAGAUGUGGACUUGGGCUGUCCACCCCCACCCACUCUUGCUGAGGUGUCUCACUACUGCCCAGACAUGUGAAUUCAUGUGAGAGCUGGUAUGAGUUGUGGUCACAGGACAAAGGAGGCUAACCGGGCAUGAUUCUCAACUUUGGCUUCAAUCAUGCCAUUUUCUACCAACUAAGCCUCUAGAGUCAAACUUGAAGAACUAUCACGUGGAACUCUUGAAGAAUGGACUUUCUUUCCACAGUGAAUACUUCAUUGAUUUUCGCUGGUUCCCUGAAUAAAGCAGCAACAAACCCACCACCUAUUUACUGAAGGCUCUGCUUCAGCCACUAUGUCAAAUGUGUUACACUCUUUAACUAACUUAAAUAUUGUCUAUAACCCUUUGGGUGGUGUUGUUUCUGUUUCAUGGAUGAAGAUGAAGAUAUUGACACUUCGAGGUUACAAAACUAUCACCAUCAUUAACAGCAACAAUGGUGCUUAGCUCUGAUUGAGAACUUACUCUGUUCCUAAAACAUGGAAAGCAUGUCACAAAUCUUCAAACAACUGGGUAAGCAUGUCACAAAUCUGCAAACAAGUUUGUAAAAUAAAGACUAUUAACAUUCCCAUUUUACAGAUGAAGAAACUGAGGCCUAGAGAAUUAAUGAUGUGCCCCAUGUCACAGAAUGCAGUAUAGAGGUGGAGGAGGAGUUAGCUUUACUCCAAAGUCUUUUAUCUUCAUUGCUAUAAUUUCUGGCAGUGUAGCAGAGUAAAAAUGAACUAAAAAUUAAUGUCAGGUUUAUACAAAUUAUUUUAUUAAGAAAAGAGGCCAAGUGUGGUGGCUCAUGCCUAUAAUCCCACCACUUGGGGAGGUUGAAGUGGGUGGAUCACUUGAGGUCAGGAGUUCAAGACCAGCCUAGCCAACAUGGUGAAACCCCGUUUCUACUGAAAAUACAAAAAUUAUCCAGGUGUGUUAGUGCACAACUGUAAUCCCAGCUACUCGGGAGGCUGAGGUAGGAGAAUCGCUUGAACCGGGGAGGCAGAGGUUGCAGUGAGCCGAGAUAGCGCCACUGCACGCCAGCCUGGGUGACGAGCAAAAACUCCAUCUCAAAAAAAAAAAAAGAAGAAGAGAAGAAAAAUGUUAGGACAAAGGAGAAGAACUCUAAAAUCUUAUGACUGGAAGCUUAUAAAUUAUAAGUAUUGAAAAAUUAAACAUUCCUAAUAACUACAGAUAUCCAUAAAAAGUUGCCCAAAAUUAAGGGCAAAUUUCUUCAGUGUCAGCAAUACUGACAGCAUUAGUUUCAUGGUCACAGAGAUUUUUGUUAUUAUUGUUAACAUAUUCCAAAAUUUAACACAAAUUUAAUCCAUGUGAAAGUAGAGCUUAGACAAUAAAAGAUAUCAGACCUUGGGGUAUUACAAUGACUUUUUAAAAAAGCUUAUUAUCAUAUAUUUCAUUAUAAUAACAGGACGCCAAAACCAUUAGCAUGAAUAAUAACCUGAGAUUGUAAGGAUUAUGUGUAAAUGUGAAAGAAGAGAUAAUUAUGUUUAUAUAUCUAAUGGUCACCCUUAGGUAUUAUGUGAUAACAUGUGGCCUUAUCCACUGAGGACAAGAGGGCCAUUUCCUACCUUGGAUUAGGCAUUCCCAGGGCGAUUCUUACAGUUACCUCUUCUUUCUGUUCAGUAUUUAAGCACUGUUAGUUCAUCUGAGGGAAUGAAAAUAAAGAUACUUUCUUCAAGAAAAAUGAAUGAAAAUAUUGCUGAUUUAACCAUGUGCGAAAAACCUCAUUUAAUUUUAUUUGUUGAGAUUGAUAUGAGCAUUUUAAGGGAAACUAAGUGACUUUCACAAACUUUUAUUUGUGCACUUAGAGCACAAUGUGGAUAAGCAAAAGUUGGGCUCCAGGAGAGGUGCAAUUGCAUAUGGCGUCACUCAGAACCAAGGGGCUUCAGCCCCUUUAUGUUCUAUGGACCUGCAUCAAUCUUUCCACUUCCGACGUUUCCACUUCUCCCUCCUCCCCACUGCCAGCACUCACACGUGUGCACAGUCAUCACGGGAGGGAGGGAAGUUUAUUCUCCAUAAACAAUUUGCUCCUUGGCCACUCUGAAUCUGCCAACCAGGUUGCCAAUUCUGAUGUAGACACCUGUCCAUUUGGAACAGGAAUGAAAACAGCCACUCAUUUUCUAGAAACCAUCAAACACCCUGUCAGUGAACAACAGCUCUCCAUUAACUGCAAUCUGGGCAAGACAUGAACGGGUCACUUCGAUAGACAAUUACUGAUCCUCCAAGCCCUUCAGCUUUCUUCAAAUUGAUGAAAGUUUCUGAUCCCUUCCCUACAAUGGAGGGGUAUCUUUUAAUGACGGUGAUAAUAAACUGCUAAAACUUUAUUUUUUUGUUAUGCAAGUGGGUUCUUAAAACAAUACUAUCAAGAACUUGCUAAUGAGGGUACACGGCCAAUCCAUAUUUUAAGAUGGCUUCCCAAAUGACAUUUUCAUUGUUCUGAUAACAACAAAAAUGAUUUCCAACCACA
rnacentral:lncRNA from 1 species